rnacentral:rRNA from 1 species
GUCGAACGGAGUGAAAGAGCUUGCUCUUUCAUUUAGUGGCGCACGGGUGAGUAACGCGUAGAUAAUCUGCCUUAGACUCUGGGAUAACAUCUCGAAAGGGGUGCUAAUACCUGAUAAGCCCACGAUGGCGAAAGUCGUUGCGGGAAAAGGGGGCCUCUGUAUAUGCUCUUGAUCUAAGAUGAGUCUGCGUACCAUUAGCUAGUUGGUAGGGUAAGAGCCUACCAAGGCUACGAUGGUUAGCUGGUCUGAGAGGAUGAUCAGCCACACUGGAACUGAGACACGGUCCAGACUCCUACGGGAGGCAGCAGUGGGGAAUUUUGCGCAAUGGGGGAAACCCUGACGCAGCAACGCCGCGUGAGUGAUGAAGGCUUUCGGGUCGUAAAGCUCUGUCUAGAGGGAAGAAAUGAUAUUCGGUUAAUACCCGGAUUUCUUGACGGUACCUCUGAAGGAAGCACCGGCUAACUCCGUGCCAGCAGCCGCGGUAAUACGGAGGGUGCAAGCGUUGUUCGGAUUUAUUGGGCGUAAAGCGCGUGUAGGCGGUUUGUUAAGUCUGAUGUGAAAGCCCUGGGCUCAACCUGGGAAGUGCAUUGGAAACUGGCAGACUUGAAUACGGGAGAGGGUAGUGGAAUUCCUGGUGUAGGAGUGAAAUCCGUAGAUAUCAGGAGGAACACCGGUGGCGAAGGCGGCUGCCUGGACCGAUAUUGACGCUGAGACGCGAAAGCGUGGGUAGCAAACAGGAUUAGAUACCCUGGUAGUCCACGCCGU